rnacentral:rRNA from 1 species
AUUGAACGCUGGCGGCAUGCCUUACACAUGCGAGUCGAACGGUAACAGGUCUUCGGAUGCUGACGAGUGGCGAACGGGUGAGUAAUACAUCGGAACGUGCCCGAUCGUGGGGGAUAACGAAGCGAAAGCUUUGCUAAUACCGCGUAAGAUCUACGGAUGAAAGCAGGGGACCGCAAGGCCUUGCGCGAACGGAGCGGCCGAUGGCAGAUUAGGUAGUUGGUGGGAUAAAAGCUUACCAAGCCGACGAUCUGUAGCUGGUCUGAGAGGACGACCAGCCACACUGGGACUGAGACACGGCCCAGACUCCUACGGGAGGCAGCAGUGGGAAAUUUUGGACAAUGGGCGAAAGCCUGAUCCAGCCAUGCCGCGUGCAGGAUGAAGGCCUUCGGGUUGUAAACUGCUUUUGUACGGAACGAAAAGACUCUUUCUAAUAAAGAGGGUCCAUGACGGUACCGUAAGAAUAAGCACCGGCUAACUACGUGCCAGCCGCCGCAGUAAAAC